UUAUAACAAAACUUUAUUAUUUUGUUUUGGAGACCUCAAAUCAGGUAGGACUACCCGC
rnacentral:rRNA from 1 species